UUACGUUAGUACAUGGUACUAACGAUCAGUGUAGAUGUCGUGACAGUCGCAGCCAGGCACGCAGUUCCCGCUCGAAGGAGGUUCUAAGGACACAUCUGGAAGAAAAACAUGACCUUUUAGUGAGAACACUACUGAUAGUCCUAUAUUAUUAUCUCUAAGGGUAUAGGAUAGCUACAUAACGUAUAGGUGAAGGACGUAUAGGUUUUUAUGUUUGGGUGAACGCAAGAAUCUCAGGAACGUUUUGAAAAAUUUGCUCAGUUGCAUUUAUCAGGAACGGAGGUUUCUUUCUCGUCGUAAUGCAAAGUUAGAAGCAUAGUUUACUGCUAUCUUCUCUACAGAUAACCAAAGAACUAAACCAACCAAAAUGCCUGCUCCUACUGAAUCCUGCAAAGACUCGUGCAAAGAUGCUGAUUGCUGCAAGGACAACAAUUGCGAGACCAAUUGCUCCGACUGCUCCGCUGAUGGUGGUUGCUGCAAGUGAAGGGGGACAUUAUAUAUAUAUGUAAUACAUUAUAAUCAAUUGUUUUAAUGUAAUCUUUUUCUGGUUUAUUCAAUAAAAUGGUUUAAAAAG